GUUGCCAUCAGAGCUUGUAAGCAAGAUCCAAGCAAGGGAGGAAAAUGCUGUGCCAGCAUCUCCAUUGGGUUUGUGGCUGAUCACUGGAUCCAGCUUCCCACCACCUGGAGGGACUAGUGAAGGCUCUUGGAUCUACUGAAAAUUCUCCAGCUGUGAAGGUGCUGUUCCCCUGCAGCCAGCCCUGUCCCCAGCACCUCUUCCCUCUGCCAACGGAGCAGCGCCAGGCAGGAGGUUUGCAGAGAAACCAGGAGUUCCAAAGCGUAAUCCCGAACAGAUGGCAGCUGUAGCCAUGCAGCCUCAGAAGGGCACUUUUAAAACAGUGGCAAAUGGCUGAGGACAAAUGCUGCUGAAAAGAAUGGAGAAAGAAAAACCUCAAUCAAUUAAAUGUUUUAGAAACAAUUGUGUUUCAAAAUCAACAAGAAGAAUUCAUGAAAAUCAAUCCUAAUUCAAGAGGGCUGUACUGAUUUGCUCAUCUUUCCCUUUCCCUGCCUAAGCAACCAAAGCAAUAAAAAUGAUAGCUCCAUCUCGGGCAAGGAAGCAAUUGAAACUUCAAAAACAUUCAACAUCAGCUGAUGAAGCUUGAUGCAGUCUCCAUGGCCUGAAAGCUAAAUAUUCUGCAAGAGAAGCAAUGUACCAGGCAGAUGAGUGGGAGUUUCAGAUAACUCCUACCCCUUCAGCUUGUUUCUCUCAAUAAAGCCAAGCAAACCAAGGUAAGAUUGUCCUGUCACAGGGG